UCCCUUCGCGGCUACAACGUCCGCCAGGUGGCGGUUCAAUCACGUGAUCUAGGUUUGCCAUCUUAUUGAGGACAGAAGGAAAGGGGCAGCCAAUGGAAAUACGAGGUUGCCGGCGCCAUGUUGUUGAGGGACAGGCCACGGAGAGAGAGAGUGGCGAUGGAAGCCGUGAAGUGGGUCGGCGCCAUCUCUUUAAGAGACUGAUAAAGUUGAUGAUUCUCGCUCAGUUCCGGACUGCCGCCACUAUCUUCUUGAGGGCUGCAAAUUGGAGCUAAUGGGACUAACAGUGGCGGGCUACGCCAUCUUGUUGAGGGGCACAGAUCGCAAUCAACGAGGCUCCCUGUGCCAUCUUGUUGAGGGGCAGCCAAUGGGACUCCUUGUUGUGUCCCACCCCAGUACAGGAUCAAUAGGACAAUUGGGAUCAAUGUGGCUCUUCAUGGUCUGGGACCGGAGAACAUCACUGAAUCGCUUUGGCUGGGACUCUGCCUGCUUCCAUAUAAAUCUCUCUCUGUGGAUUAUUGGCAGGUCAGCUUUUUCUGAACCACGCUCCUAAACUGUGAAAUUCAUUUCCCAAAACUAUAUGGAAUGCAUACUUACUUGUCAUUUUUAAACUAAGUUGUUUUAAACAAAGCUCAAAACCUAUUUAUUUAACCUUGAUUUUUAUUCUCAUGUUGUUUUUAUAUUCCACUAUUCCAUUGUAGAGCAGCCUAUGAAAAGUGCUCAAUAAUUGUUUUAAUUAUUAAAUCUCUUCCCUCUCACCUUAACCCUGUAGCCUCUGGUUCUUGAUUGCCCAACCCUGGGGAAAAAGACUGUGUGCAUUCACCCUAACUGUGCCCCUCAUGGUUUUAUACAUCUCUGUAAGGUCACCCCUCCAUCUCCUAUACUCCAAGGAAUAAAGUCCCCAUUCUCCAUAACUCGGUCUCGAGAACAACCUCAUAAAUCUCCUAUGUAGUCUUUUCAAGUUAAUGUGAUGUUUCCUUCAGCAGGAUGACCAAAAUGGAUCAGCCGCGACAGAAAGGGUGUGGGGGCUUUGGAGAGGUUCACCAAGAGACUGUCUGGAUUAGAGGGCACAAGCUGCAAGGAGAGGCUGGAUAGACUUGGGUUGUUUUCUUUGGAGCAGUGGAGGUUUGAGGUUUAUAAGAUUAUGUGAUACAUGGAGUAGACAGCCAGAAUCUUUUCUUCAGGGUGAAAAUAUCUAAUACCAGCAAGCAUACCUUUGAGCUGCAGAGACUUGAUAGCAUUUUUUAAAGAUUAGCUUCAUUUGUCACAUGUACAUUAAAAUCCAUCUUUUGCAUAAACAACCAACGUGCUCCAAGGAUGUGCUGGGGGCAGCCUGCAAUACUCACCAUGCUUCCAGUGUGCAACUCUAACCCAUACAUCUUUGGAACUUGGGAGGAAACCAGAGCACCCACACAGUCACACCAAGAAUAUCCAAACUCCUUACAGACAGCAGGAGGAAUUGAACCAUCAGUGAUCACUGACAUUGUAAAUCGAACCCUGUACAUCCAUACUCAUGUCAUUCUACAGAUGCGUAGUAGAGAGCUUUCUAACAAGCUGCAUCACUGCUCGGUAAGGAAAGGGCACUAUGGCAGACAGGAAGGCUUUACACUGGUAGUCAAAACUACCCGGCACCAGCCUACCUGAUAUAUAUACAGAAAGGUGUGGGAAAAGGACCAGUAACAUCAUAAAGGAUCCCACCCAGACCAGCAGUAACUCAGAAAGUUGAUCAACACCCCCAACUACCACUACUUUAUCAUCUCCUGUCACCUUAUGUACAGACACUCCUGUGCCUAGUGUCACUUUAUUCACAUACCAUGUAUAAUAAACUAUCUCAUGUAUUUAAUUUAUCUUAUUGUGCAUCAGACCCACUUUAACAAUUAUUUUGUUCUCCUUUACACUUGGGUACUGGAAAUCUUGAAAGUGAUUGCACGAACUGCUCUGCUACCAAUAGAUCACGGGCACAUCAGUUACAUUAGUUACAUCACGGUUAAAUCUGGUUAUACUAGUCACGUCACAGUCUGGGACAUCGAUUCAAAUGCACAAGAAUGUUAGAAGCUGCAGAGGCAAGCAAAUUCAGCCCAGUACAUCAUAGGCUCUUCCGACCAUCAUUAGUACCUACAGGAGGGGCUGCUGCAAGAAGACAACAUUAACCAUCAAAAUCCCCACCAUCCAGGCCAUGCCAUCUUCUCAGUUUCCAUCAGGCAGGAGGUACAGAAGUCUGACGUCCCACACCACCAGGUUCAGGAACAGCGACUUCUCUUCAACCAGUUGGUUCUUGAACCAACAGGCACAAUCCGAACCACCAUCUCAGUACAGAAACACCAUGACCACUUUGUGAUACAAUGGAUACUUGCUUUUCUUCUAUUUGUGUUCAUUUUUUUGCCAAAAAAAUUGGGUAUAAUUUAUGCUUAUCCUGUGAGAGUUGUGUAUCUGAUGCUGCUCCAAGUUAGUUUUCACCACACCUCGACCUCUGACAAUAAACUCUGGAAUGAGGAGAGAUUACCUAAAAGACACCUUCCACCAUGCACAAAAGAACUAUUGAAAGGACCUCACAAUCUACCCCAUGACCUUGCUCCUUACUGUCUGCCUCCACUAACCCUGUAACACCUCAUUCUGCAUUUCUCUUGUACUUAUGUAAUAAACUGAUCUGUAUAUACGGUGUGCAAAAUAAGGUUUUCGCUGUACCUCAAGGAUACAGUGGGAUAUAGAUACAGGCAGGGAAAUGGCAGAUGGGUUUUAACCCGGACAAGUGUGAGGGGUUGUACUUCGGGAGGUCAAAUGUAAAGGGACAGGGCACAGUUAACGGCAGAACCCCUGUGUUGACGUAUGGAGGAAUCAAGGUGUCCUUGUCAACUGCUCCAUGCUUUAUGAAAGUUUCUGCACAGGUUGACAGGCUGAUGAAGGUGGUGCAUGGCAUGUUUGCCUUUAUUAGUCAAGUUCAAGAGUCAGGAAUUCAUCUUGUAGCUUUAUAAAACUCCAGUCAGGCCACAUCUGGAUUAUUAUGUACAGUUCUGGUCAGCCCAUCACAGUACGGGUGUGGGGGCUUUGGAAAGGAUGCAGGGGAGGUUCACCAGGAUGCUGCCUGGAUUAGAGGCAUGAGCUGGAAGAAGAGGCUGGACAAACUUGAGUUAUUUUCUCCAGAGCAUCAGAGGCUGAGGGGAAAUCUGAGAGAGUACAGGAGUCAGAGUAGAUAGCCGGUAUUUUCUCUCCCCGCCCCAAGGAAGAUAUGCAUUUACGGUGGGAGAGAGGAGCUCAACAGAGAUCGGUAAUGGAGACAGAUACGACAGAGGCUUUUAUGGUGCUGUCAGACACAUGAAUGUGUAUGGAAUGUAGGGAGAUGGGACACUGUGCAGGCAGAAGGGAUUUAGUACAGUGAGGGCCAACACAACAUUAUGGCCAGCCCUGACUGUAUGGUAAUGAAGACACACGACGAGGUAAAGCAUUUGACCAGUCUUUUAUUAGUUACUGUUUAGUUCCUAGUUGUCACUGCCGGUGAGACGGCAGAAAGGAGCGUUCUCUCUGGGAUCAUCCCAACGACACAGGCACACUGGGACCUGUGUAGAGUUCGAGUUGGGGGGUACUGAGGGGGAUAAAGUGCAGCCCGGAGGGAAAACGCUGACUCCACUGCGGGCCGAUCCCCACCCCCGCCAAUGCAGGGUGUAGCGAGGGAACCGUUACACACAGCAGGGAGCUGUUGCCACUACACAGGAUGCAGGGGGGGGGGGGUGCACAGAGAUGGCACAC